ensembl:lncRNA
CUUUCACAGCUCGAGGAACACCGAGCUGCCACCGCGUGGACCUGCACAGGUGGCCGCACUUCGUGCAACAGCAGGAAACCUCUCCUGAAGGGUCUGGCCUCAGGGCAGCGAAAGCAGCUACGGAAACGGGAGUUCGGAAGACCCUCCCACCCCAAAUCCCCCUUGUCCACCCUCGCUGCCCCGCGCAGCCCAGCCCUGCCAGCAGCCGCUGAUGGGCACGUCGCAACCCGCGCCUUUGCCAGGGCUGAAUCACCCUGCGCUUGGAGAGCUUCUCCCACCGUCUUUCCAAAAUCUCUGUUAGUGUAAUUUCUUCUCUGUCCCCAAAGGGCACGAAGAGCAGUUUAUUGUUGUACACUGUGGCAGUCUGUUAUAUACUGAAAGCUUUAUUCACCUCCCUUGCUUCCCUCUGCAUUUGGCAGCGCCAGUCCGCCCAGCUUGUCCCCGUGGGUCACAACACCGAGCUCCACCAUCCCUGCUGGCACGGCACAUCCACACAUCUCCCAUAGCCUCCAUGUCCCACACUGCUCCCAUAGGAGGCUGCCACUGUUGACUCAUGUACCCCAAUGGCUGAGUUUUUGCCCUAAAGAAACAGAGUUUGUCCCAGGCACGGUGCCAGCUCCCUGCUGCAUCCUGGAUCUCAUAAGAACAAGAUGCUUCCUACUGUCCGCAUUCCCAUGGGUACACUUUCUGGGCAAAAGUGAAGAAAAAACAGCAGUUAAGCCAAUGCGUUUCCUCCUUGGCCAGCCUGAUCCACCUCCUGGGGCCAACGGAGGCUAUGAGAGCCAUGAUUCAUUGUGCCCGUUUUGUAUUUGUUUCCUCUCAGUGUUGUGGUGUAAGCAUUCAAUAAAAAAUGUGGCACAUUUAAUGGGUGGAGAAAUGGCAGACCCUGGGCAGCAACAGCCAUGGGGAGGAUCUUUAAUCUCUGCUGGCACACUGCAUAUACCCAGCAACAGCUAGGAAGGUUCGGUUGUCUCAAAUUGCACUUGCAGUCAACAUUACACAUGCAAGUCUACACACAGCCCCAGCUAAAUCAAAAAUAAAAGGCGGAUCCCUUUUUGUUUUGCUGGAAAAUUCUGUGUCACUGGGUUGCAGCACAAGGAAAUAAAAUCUCACUCGAGGCCAGGAUUCUGCCUAGGGAAGGGCUCAGCACAGAGCCUGUCAGACACAUUUUCCUCACCUUCUGCCCUCGCAGGUGGUGGGUGCAGGCUGGCACCUUACUCCUGUCAGUUGGAGCAGAAUGAGGGCUGGAACUGGGCUUGCUGGCAGCUCAGCAGAGGAAUGCAUUCAGCAGCAGGCAGGUGAGUGUCCACAUCUAGGCAAUUAACACCCAGACAAUCCCUGUGAACGGCAUCCCAACAGGGUGAUGUAUGCUGCCGCUGGCUUUGGCUCCUUGCAAGUAGAAAAUGGGAAAGAAAAUGGGCAAAGAGGAACCUGUAUACUUUAAAGCUUAACAAAACCAGACUAUGUGAAUGACUUAUCUCCCCCAGCCUCUUGUGAUCAUCUCGCUUAAGGUCAGAAAAGCCCAUCAGCUCUGAUAACCCAGCAAACAAGGACAUCCUCUCCUGAUGAAAAGGCAGCUCUUGGAGUCCCACAGGCUGCACUACAGCAUGUGGGGAACAUGAGGCCUUUGCUGCUGCUACAGAACCUGCCAGCAGCUGAAAACCACUUUGUCAGGAGGUUAAGUUCACAGUGCAACCGCAACAUCUUUAAAUAUCUGCUGCUGCAGCAGCAGCAUCUUGCUGGAAGAGAACUCCAGUCCUGUCCACGCUGCAAGCUGUAAAGUGGCUGGGCUAACACUGAGCACAGCUCAGGUGUUCCUGGGCAAGCUGUCAGGAGCACGCAGGGACACGGAGGAUGUACUUCUCCAUGAGGACCCGUAUUUCUCCACAAGGACCUGCAGUUAAUUCUUUACAAGCUCAUUUCCUGAAGGCCAGACGUCCCACAGCCACACUGCUGGAGGAGGAGAUCAUCCCUGGGUCACAGCCAGCAGCCUGGGAGCUCAGGGAUGAGCAGGAGGGAUUCCCUUGGAUGAGAGAAGCGUUCUCCAGCCCAGGCCCGUGGCAAGAAACGCUUCCUUGCAGGGCUAUGUUUUAUUUCCCACACAUCCACAGUUCUUCAGACUAGCAGGGUUAGUGGUACCCACAUCUUUUGGGAUAACGUUCCUUUGGGACAACAAAGUCGGUGGCCAUCUUCUGAAGAUUCUUGGGUAUACAUCUUCCACAGGAAGGGGAAUGGCUCUGUGCUGUGGCAGUGAUGGCACUUCGUCCAGCUGUCGGCAGCUGCCAUCGGUGAUAUGCAAACAGAGCUACUCUCACUGCUCUGUGCUGUAACACAAAGGGCUCACUGAAGGAUUAUUUGGGUUGGCAGCACUGCCACCAACUUAUGAAAUCCUGAAAGCACAAACAGAAAGCAGUGAAGUAACACAGUCAGGAAAACACAGAAUUUCAACACAGAAAGUGCCUCCUGCAGAGAGAGGGAAGAAGCAGCAGCUCCAGCAUCACUUUACCUGCAGCUGGUGCAUGUGUCUGCAGAGAUGUAGGAGCCUGG